rnacentral:rRNA from 1 species
AUGGAGAGUUUGAUCCUGGCUCAGGACGAACGCUGGCGGCGGGCUUAACACAUGCAAGUCGAAGGAGAAGGAAGGAGCUUGCUCUUUCUGGAGACUGGCGGACGGGUGAGUAACGCGUAGCCAACCUGCCUUUAGCUGGGGGAUAACAUUCCGAAAGGGGUGCUAAUACCGCAUAAUGCAGCGGGGCCGCAUGGCCACAGUUGUUAAAGGUUUCGACCGGCUAAAGAGGGGGCUGCGUGCUAUUAGUUAGUUGGUGAGGUAACGGCUCACCAAGGCGAUGAUAGCUAGGGGGUCUGAGAGGAUGAUCCCCCACACUGGGACUGAGACACGGACCAGACUCCUACGGGAGGCAGCAGUGGGGAAUUUUCCGCAAUGGGCGAAAGCCUGACGGAGCAACGCCGCGUGAGGGAUGAAGGCCUCUGGGCUGUAAACCUCUUUUAUCAAGGAAGAAGAUCUGACGGUACUUGAUGAAUAAGCCACGGCUAAUUCCGUGCCAGCAGCCGCGGUAAUACGGAGGGUGCAAGCGUUGUCCGGAAUCAUUGGGUGUAAAGGGUGCGUAGGCGGACUGCUAAGUCUGGGGUGAAAUCUUGCCGCUUAACGGUAAAAUGGCCUUGGAUACUGGCAGUCUUGAGUGUAGAAGAGGCAGGUGGAAUUCGUAGUGUAGCGGUGAAAUGCAUAGAUAUUACGAAGAACAUCAGUGGCGAAGGCGGCCUGCUGGUCUACAACUGACGCUGAGGCACGAAAGCGUGGGGAGCGAACAGGAUUAGAUACCCUGGUAGUCCACGCCGUAAAC